rnacentral:sRNA from 1 species
UGGAAAGUGGGUCUGUGUUUUUCUCUGGUCACAUUCAGCAGUAUGGGUGCAGGUGUAGAACAGGUGAAUGGAAAAACUAAGAGGAACUCUGGGACAGCUUUUUAAAGAAUCUAGACCUACUAAAUGUUAUGUUAACAAGCUUUACUAUUAGCAGAGAAUGCAUACUGUUUUGGUCGACUGUGGUGAAAAUUCUUAGUCUGAUUCCUGUUGUCUCAUUUUACUUCUGUUUAGGUCCCAGGAGUUUAGGUGUGUGUUAGUUUGCGUUGCUCCUGCGAUUUACCAUGUAUUUGAUCAUGUCUCAGGUUGAUCUUCACUCGAAAGGGGGUACUCCGUGUGGAGGGGUUUUUAAGCCCCCAGCAAAGUGACCCUGAUGCCAUGAACCUGUGGAUUCCCUCUUCCUCCCUAGCAGAAGGGAUAGAUCUAGAGACCUCAAAAUACAUCCUGGCCAAUGUUGGGGACCAGUUCUGCCAGCUCGUAAUGUCUGAGAAGGAGGCCAUGAUGAUGGUGGAGCCACACCAGAAAGUGGCAUGGAAGCGAGCUGUGCGUGGUGUACGGGA